GACGGGUGAGUAACACGUGGAUAACCUACCUAUAAGACUGGGAUAACUUCGGGAAACCGGAGCUAAUACCGGAUAACAUAUUGAACCGCAGGGUUCAAUAGUGAAAGGCGGCUUUGCUGUCACUUAUAGAUGGAUCCGCGCCGUAUUAGCUAGUUGGUAAGGUAACGGCUUACCAAGGCAACGAUACGUAGCCGACCUGAGAGGGUGAUCGGCCACACUGGAACUGAGACACGGUCCAGACUCCUACGGGAGGCAGCAGUAGGGAAUCUUCCGCAAUGGGCGAAAGCCUGACGGAGCAACGCCGCGUGAGUGAUGAAGGUCUUCGGAUCGUAAAACUCUGUUAUCAGGGAAGAACAAAUGUGUAAGUAACUGUGCACAUCUUGACGGUACCUGAUCAGAAAGCCACGGCUAACUACGUGCCAGCAGCCGCGGUAAUACGUAGGUGGCAAGCGUUAUCCGGAAUUAUUGGGCGUAAAGCGCGCGUAGGCGGUUUUUUAAGUCUGAUGUGAAAGCCCACGGCUCAACCGUGGAGGGUCAUUGGAAACUGGAAAACUUGAGUGCAGAAGAAGAAAGUGGAAUUCCAUGUGUAGCGGUGAAAUGCGCAGAGAUAUGGAGGAACACCAGUGGCGAAAGCGACUUUCUGGUCUGUAACUGACGCUGAUGUGCGAAAGCGUGGGGAUCAAACAGGAUUAGAUACCCUGGUAGUCCACGCCGUAAACGAUGAGUGCUAAGUGUUAGGGGGUUUCCGCCCCUUAGUGCUGCAGCUAACGCAUUAAGCACUCCGCCUGGGGAGUACGACCGCAAGGUUGAAACUCAAAGGAAUUGACGGGGACCCGCACAAGCGGUGGAGCAUGUGGUUUAAUUCGAAGCAACGCGAAGAACCUUACCAAAUCUUGACAUCCUUUGACCGCUCUAGAGAUAGAGUCUUCCCCUUCG
rnacentral:rRNA from 1 species